rnacentral:sRNA from 1 species
UAGAAACAUAUUUCUCUAUAUUUGCAAUCAGACAAAGGAAUUGAUUUCCGGAUCAACACCACUGUGGGCAAAGAAGCUGUGGGCAAUUACUCAGCAUAUCAGUACGCUACACGAGCUGAAGAGAUUAUCAAGUCACAUGACCCGGACACACCGUUGUUUCUGUACUUACCAUUCCAGAAUGUUCAUGAACCUUUAGAGGUACCUGAUCAGUACUUGAAGCUCUAUCCAAACAUCUCCGAUGAAAACAGAAGAAAUCUGUCUGGUAUGUUCU